UACGGAGGGUGCAAGCGUUAUCCGGAUUUACUGGGUGUAAAGGGAGCGUAGGCGGUUCAGCAAGUCAGAAGUGAAAGCCCGGGGCUCAACUCCGGGACUGCUUUUGAAACUGUUAUUCUAGAGUAUGGGAGAGGUAGGUGGAAUUCUUGGUGUAGGGGUAAAAUCCGUAGAGAUCAAGAGGAAUACUCAUUGCGAAGGCGACCUGCUAGAACAUAACUGACGCUGAUGCGCGAAAGCGUGGGGAGCAAACAGG
rnacentral:rRNA from 1 species